GGUGGUCUAAUACCUUAUAGUAUCCAUCUCGUAUGGAUUAAAGCUUUAUGCGCUUUGGAGGGGCCUGCGUUUGAUUAGCUAGUUGGUGAGGUAAAAGCUCACCAAGGCGACGAUCAAUAGCUGGUUUGAGAGGAUGACCAGCCACACUGGGACUGAGAUACGGCCCAGACUCCUACGGGAGGCAGCAGUAAGGAAUCUUCCACAAUGGGGGCAACCCUGAUGGAGCAAUACCGCGUGCAGGAUGAAGCGUUUCGGCGUGUAAACUGCUUUAUCACCGAAGAUUAUGACUGUAGGUGAAGAAUAAGGACCGGCUAACUACGUG
rnacentral:rRNA from 1 species